rnacentral:rRNA from 1 species
UCGGGAAUAUUGGACAAUGGGCGAAAGCCUGAUCCAGCAACGCCGCGUGCGGGACGAAGGCCCUCGGGUCGUAAACCGCUGUCAGGAGGGAGGAACGGUGCGUGGUUAAGAGCUGCGUACUUUGACAGUACCUCCAGAGGAAGCCCCGGCUAACUCCGUGCCAGCAGCCGCGGUAAUACGGAGGGGGCGAGCGUUGUCCGGAAUUAUUGGGCGUAAAGAGCUCGUAGGCGGUCCGUUGCGUCUGCCGUGAAAACCCGGAGCUCAACUCCGGGCCUGCGGUGGAUACGGGCGGACUAGAGUCCGGUAGGGGAGACUGGAAUUCCUGGUGUAGCGGUGGAAUGCGCAGAUAUCAGGAGGAACACCGGUGGCGAAGGCGGGUCUCUGGGCCGGAACUGACGCUGAGGAGCGAAAGCGUGGGGAGCGAACAGGAUUAGAUACCCUGGUAGUCCACGCCGUAAACGAUGUCAACUAGCCGUUGGGAGGGUUGCCUCUUAGUGGCGCAGCUAACGCGAUAAGUUGACCGCCUGGGAGUACGGUCGCAAGAGUU